GGGGACCUUCAACAUGCUGGUCACUCAUCGUGGCGAUGGAGACGACGGACGACGGAGAGCGGUCGAGUUCUGGGUUGCUGCUGAAACAGUUGGGGUCUGGACUGGGGUGCGGGAGGCUACGCUCUAGUGAAGAAGAUGGAGUGUAACAUCUGCCAGGCAAUAUUCCAGCCUAUCCUGCUGCAGUGAGCCUAGACCCACAAUCGCUGCUCACGCCGCAUCUCGCGUCGUCUCGCGAGAACAAAGAUGGCGUCGACAAUCAUGCUAGGUCACGUGUAAAUUAAAAAUGCAAAUGUUACAGUAUAAUGUGUAAUGCGUGAAUGUUAUAUCAACGACGAUUUAUAUAAUAUGUAUAAUACACGAAAAAUAUGAAGUGUUUUAUUUCAUUC